GUGGGCUAUGGGGACAUGCGACCUGUCACUGUGGGGGGCAAGAUUGUGGGUUCUUUGUGUGCCAUCGCGGGUGUGCUCACCAUCGCCUUGCCUGUCCCUGUCAUCGUAUCCAAC
rfam:Balearica pavonina gibbericeps contig66406, whole genome shotgun sequence.